GAAAUGCGAUAAGUAAUGUGAAUUGCAGAAUUCAGUGAAUCAUCGAAUCUUUGAACGCACAUUGCACCCGCCAGUAUUCUGGCGGGCAUGCCUGUCCGAGCGUCAUUUCAACCAUCAAGCCCCGGGCUUGUGUUGGGGACCUGCGGCUGCCCGCAGGCCCUGAAAACCAGUGGCGGGCUCGCUGUCACACCGAGCGUAGUAGCAAUCACCUCGCUCAGGGCGUGCUGCGGGUUCCGGCCGUUAAACAGCCUUACAAAACCCAAGGUUGACCUCGGAUCAGGUAGGAAGACCCGCUGAACUUAAGC
rnacentral:misc_RNA from 1 species